AGCAGCCGCGGUAAUUCCAGCUCCAAUAGCGUAUAUUAGAGUUGUUGCAGUUAAAAAGCUCGUAGUUGAAUUUCGGGGUUAGUAAGUUGGUCAUGCCUUCGGUAUGUACUGGCUUUACUGAUUCCUCCUUCUUGACGAACCGUGAUGUCAUUAAUUUGGUGUUGCGGGAAAUCAGGACUGUUACUUUGAAAAAAUUGAGUGUUUAAAGCAGGGCUAACGCUUGAAUACAUUAGCAUGGAAUAAUGAAAUAGGACGUUAAUCCUAUUUUGUUGGUUUCUAGGAUCGACGUAAUGAUUAAUAGGGAUAGUUGGGGGCAUUAGUAUUCAAUUGUCAGAGGUGAAAUUCUUGGAUUUAUUGAAGACUAACUACUGCGAAAGCAUUUGCCAAGGAUGUUUUCAUUAAUCAAGAACGAAAGUUAGGGGAUCGAAGACGAUCAGAUACCGUCGUAGUCUUAACCAUAAACCUAUGCCGACUAGGGAUCGGGAUGAUGUUAUUUUUAAUGUACUCAUUCGGCGCCUUA
rnacentral:rRNA from 1 species